GUUGAAUAGCUCAGUCAGUAGAGCAUGAGACUCUUCAUUUCAGGGUCUUGGCUUCGAGCACCACCUUGGGCA